CUUGGCCCGGGCGUGAGGCGCGUGCGGGCUGAGGAGCCGUAGCCCGGCUGCUGCGCGCCUCUGCCCUGCGGGGAGUGGCUUUCAAGUUUCCUCACCGCUUUGCCGCACUUCCUCUUCCAGGCUCUCAUUUGAAAUAAUAUUUUGGUGGCUUAAGAGCCGUGGUGUUGUUAGAGUGGCAGGGCCGAAGCUGGGCGGGCUCCCUCGGUGUUCCCGAGGCGGCGGCCCUGUGUGGGCCUCGAGUCUUCGGCGGCGGUCUGUGUGGGCCUCGAGUCUUCGGUGUGUACGUGUGGAGCUCAAGUAGGAGAGGACACGGAAUCACAGCGUGCCCCGAGUUGGAAGGGACCCGUGCGGAUCAUGGAUUCCAACUGCCAGCUCCACACGAGACCCUCCAAAAAUGAGCCCACGUGUCUGCGUGUGGUACAGAUGAUUCUUGAACUCGGUCAGCUCAGUGCCGUGACCACACGGCCUGUUCCACACCCACCACCCUCCGCUGCAGAACCUUUUCCUGAACGCCUUCUGCCCAAAGCAGACUUCUGUCAUCGUUUUCUAACUCAUGCUGGUGGGUGCCGGGGUGCUGCUGAGGGCUGCGAUUGACCAUCGCGAGGCUGUAGUCAUCUCUGGAAAGCCGGGUCCCAUCUGUGUGGUGUCCAGCUUCUUCCCUGAAGGUUUCACUUCGUGCUCACAAGGCCCAGAUACAUCCCUGAUCUGAGACAGAGGGAUCACCAGAGGGAAGAAGGCUGAAAGAGUUUUAGCAGCUGGCUUGCUUCAUGAGGUGACAGAGCUUGAAGAGGAAGUGGAGAGAUUAAGGAGCAUGGAAGUGUGAGCAGGAGAUAGACUGGUGCAGCAACUCCCUGCAGCACCCACAAGAGGGGCACCGUGGUGAUCCACCCCAUGGAGUGGUGGACCCCCGGCCUGCCACCAUCAGGCAAAGGGAGGGGACCUAAGAGAUGGGGAGGAAUGGAAACAGGUUCCUGCUCAGUAUCACUGGCAGACUCCCUCCCUCGCCUUCCCAGCUGUCCUCACACGAUGGAUUUGGGGCUUUGGACCUCGAGG
rnacentral:lncRNA from 1 species